rnacentral:rRNA from 1 species
AUUGAACGCUGGCGGCGGGCUUAACACAUGCAAGUCGAGCGGAGAUGAGGUGCUUGCACCUUAUCUUAGCGGCGGACGGGUGAGUAAUGCUUAGGAAUCUGCCUAUUAGUGGGGGACAACAUUCCGAAAGGAAUGCUAAUACCGCAUACGUCCUACGGGAGAAAGCGGGGGACCUUCGGGCCUUGCGCUAAUAGAUGAGCCUAAGUCGGAUUAGCUAGUUGGUGGGGUAAAGGCCUACCAAGGCGACGAUCUGUAGCGGGUCUGAGAGGAUGAUCCGCCACACUGGGACUGAGACACGGCCCAGACUCCUACGGGAGGCAGCAGUGGGGAAUAUUGGACAAUGGGCGGAAGCCUGAUCCAGCCAUGCCGCGUGUGUGAAGAAGGCCUUUUGGUUGUAAAGCACUUUAAGCGAGGAGGAGGCUACUUAGAUUAAUACUCUAGGAUAGUGGACGUUACUCGCAGAAUAAGCACCGGCUAACUCUGUGCCAGCCGCCGCCGUAAGAC